rnacentral:rRNA from 1 species
AUACGGAGGGUCCAAGCGUUAUCCGGAAUCAUUGGGUUUAAAGGGUCCGUAGGCGGGCAAUUAAGUCAGAGGUGAAAUCCCACAGCUCAACCGUGGAACUGCCUUUGAUACUGGUUGUCUUGAAUUAUAGUGAAGUAGAUAGAAUAUGUAGUGUAGCGGUGAAAUGCUUAGAUAUUACAUAGAAUACCGAUUGCGAAGGCAGUCUACUAACCGUAUAUUGACGCUGAUGGACGAAAGCGUGGGGAGCGAACAGGAUUAGAAACCCCUGUAGUCC